rnacentral:rRNA from 1 species
UUAAGCGACUAAGCGUACACGGUGGAUGCCUUGGCAGUCAGAGGCGAUGAAGGACGUGCUAAUCUGCGAUAAGCGUCGGUAAGGUGAUAUGAACCGUUAUAACCGGCGAUUUCCGAAUGGGGAAACCCAGUGUGAUUCGUCACACUAUCAUUAACUGAAUCCAUAGGUUAAUGAGGCGAACCGGGGGAACUGAAACAUCUAAGUACCCCGAGGAAAAGAAAUCAACCGAGAUUCCCCCAGUAGCGGCGAGCGAACGGGGAGGAGCCCAGAGCCUGAAUCAGUGUGUGUGUUAGUGGAAGCGUCUGGAAAGGCGCGCGAUACAGGGUGACAGCCCCGUACACAAAAAUGCACAUACUGUGAGCUCGAUGAGUAGGGCGGGACACGUGGUAUCCUGUCUGAAUAUGGGGGGACCAUCCUCCAAGGCUAAAUACUCCUGACUGACCGAUAGUGAACCAGUACCGUGAGGGAAAGGCGAAAAGAACCCCGGCGAGGGGAGUGAAAAAGAACCUGAAACCGUGUACGUACAAGCAGUGGGAGCACAGAGCAAUCUGUGUGACUGCGUACCUUUUGUAUAAUGGGUCAGCGACCUAUAUUCUGUAGCAAGGUUAACCGAAUAGGGGAGCCGAAGGGAAACCGAGUCUUAACCGGGCGUUAAGUUGCAGGGUAUAGACCCGAAACCCGGUGAUCUAGCCAUGGGCAGGUUGAAGGUUGGGUAACACUAACUGGAGGACCGAACCGACUAAUGUUGAAAAAUUAGCGGAUGACUUGUGGCUGGGGGUGAAAGGCCAAUCAAACCGGGAGAUAGCUGGUUCUCCCCGAAAGCUAUUUAGGUAGCGCCUCGUGAAUUCAUCUCCGGGGGUAGAGCACUGUUUCGGCAAGGGGGUCAUCCCGACUUACCAACCCGAUGCAAACUGCGAAUACCGGAGAAUGUUAUCACGGGAGACACACGGCGGGUGCUAACGUCCGUCGUGAAGAGGGAAACAACCCAGACCGCCAGCUAAGGUCCCAAAGUCAUGGUUAAGUGGGAAACGAUGUGGGAAGGCCCAGACAGCCAGGAUGUUGGCUUAGAAGCAGCCAUCAUUUAAAGAAAGCGUAAUAGCUCACUGGGUCGAGUCGGCCUGCGCGGAAGAUGUAACGGGGCUAACCCACGCACCGAAGCUGCGGCAGCGACACUGUGUGUUGUUGGGUAGGGGAGCGUUCUGUAAGCCUGUGAAGGUGUGCUGUGAGGCAUGCUGGAGGUAUCAGAAGUGCGAAUGCUGACAUAAGUAACGAUAAAGCGGGUGAAAAGCCCGCUCGCCGGAAGACCAAGGGUUCCUGUCCAACGUUAAUCGGGGCAGGGUGAGUCGACCCCUAAGGCGAGGCCGAAAGGCGUAGUCGAUGGGAAACAGGUUAAUAUUCCUGUACUUGGUGUUACUGCGAAGGGGGGACGGAGAAGGCUAUGUUGGCCGGGCGACGGUUGUCCCGGUUUAAGCGUGUAGGCUGGUUUUCCAGGCAAAUCCGGAAAAUCAAGGCUGAGGCGUGAUGACGAGGCACUACGGUGCUGAAGCAACAAAUGCCCUGCUUCCAGGAAAAGCCUCUAAGCAUCAGGUAACAUCAAAUCGUACCCCAAACCGACACAGGUGGUCAGGUAGAGAAUACCAAGGCGCUUGAGAGAACUCGGGUGAAGGAACUAGGCAAAAUGGUGCCGUAACUUCGGGAGAAGGCACGCUGAUAUGUAGGUGAAGUCCCUCGCGGAUGGAGCUGAAAUCAGUCGAAGAUACCAGCUGGCUGCAACUGUUUAUUAAAAACACAGCACUGUGCAAACACGAAAGUGGACGUAUACGGUGUGACGCCUGCCCGGUGCCGGAAGGUUAAUUGAUGGGGUCAGCGCAAGCGAAGCUCUUGAUCGAAGCCCCGGUAAACGGCGGCCGUAACUAUAACGGUCCUAAGGUAGCGAAAUUCCUUGUCGGGUAAGUUCCGACCUGCACGAAUGGCGUAAUGAUGGCCAGGCUGUCUCCACCCGAGACUCAGUGAAAUUGAACUCGCUGUGAAGAUGCAGUGUACCCGCGGCAAGACGGAAAGACCCCGUGAACCUUUACUAUAGCUUGACACUGAACAUUGAGCCUUGAUGUGUAGGAUAGGUGGGAGGCUUUGAAGUGUGGACGCCAGUCUGCAUGGAGCCGACCUUGAAAUACCACCCUUUAAUGUUUGAUGUUCUAACGUGGACCCGUGAUCCGGGUUGCGGACAGUGUCUGGUGGGUAGUUUGACUGGGGCGGUCUCCUCCUAAAGAGUAACGGAGGAGCACGAAGGUUGGCUAAUCUUGGUCGGACAUCAGGAGGUUAGUGCAAUGGCAUAAGCCAGCUUGACUGCGAGCGUGACGGCGCGAGCAGGUGCGAAAGCAGGUCAUAGUGAUCCGGUGGUUCUGAAUGGAAGGGCCAUCGCUCAACGGAUAAAAGGUACUCCGGGGAUAACAGGCUGAUACCGCCCAAGAGUUCAUAUCGACGGCGGUGUUUGGCACCUCGAUGUCGGCUCAUCACAUCCUGGGGCUGAAGUAGGUCCCAAGGGUAUGGCUGUUCGCCAUUUAAAGUGGUACGCGAGCUGGGUUUAGAACGUCGUGAGACAGUUCGGUCCCUAUCUGCCGUGGGCGCUGGAGAACUGAGGGGGGCUGCUCCUAGUACGAGAGGACCGGAGUGGACGCAUCACUGGUGUUCGGGUUGUCAUGCCAAUGGCACUGCCCGGUAGCUAAAUGCGGAAGAGAUAAGUGCUGAAAGCAUCUAAGCACGAAACUUGCCCCGAGAUGAGUUCUCCCUGACCCUUUAAGGGUCCUGAAGGAACGUUGAAGACGACGACGUUGAUAGGCCGGGUGUGUAAGCGCAGCGAUGCGUUGAGCUAACCGGUACUAAUGAACCGUGAGGCUUAACCUU